UUCUUUGUGGUCUCAGUGGUGAGGGCGUCCGCCUCAGAUGCUGGAGGUCACGGGUUCGAACUUCGGCUGAGUAA